rnacentral:rRNA from 1 species
AGAGUUUGAUCCUGGCUCAGGACGAACGCUGGCGGCGUGCCUAACACAUGCAAGUCGAGCGAUGAAGCCUUCGGGUGGAUUAGCGGCGGACGGGUGAGUAACACGUGGGUAACCUGCCUCAAAGAGGGGGAUAGCCUCCCGAAAGGGAGAUUAAUACCGCAUAACAUUAGAUUGUCGCAUGACAGUUUAAUCAAAGGAGUAAUCCGCUUUGAGAUGGACCCGCGGCGCAUUAGCUAGUUGGAGAGGUAAAGGCUCACCAAGGCGACGAUGCGUAGCCGACCUGAGAGGGUGAUCGGCCACAUUGGAACUGAGACACGGUCCAGACUCCUACGGGAGGCAGCAGUGGGGAAUAUUGCACAAUGGGCGAAAGCCUGAUGCAGCAACGCCGCGUGAGUGAUGAAGGCCUUCGGGUUGUAAAGCUCUGUCUUCUGGGACGAUAAUGACGGUACCAGAGGAGGAAGCCACGGCUAACUACGUGCCAGCAGCCGCGGUAAUACGUAGGUGGCAAGCGUUGUCCGGAUUUACUGGGCGUAAAGAAUGCGUAGGCGGAUACUUAAGUCAGAUGUGAAAUACCCGAGCUCAACUUGGGUGCUGCAUUUGAAACUGGGUAUCUAGAGUGCGGGAGAGGUAAGUGGAAUUCCUAGUGUAGCGGUGAAAUGCGUAGAGAUUAGGAAGAACACCAGUGGCGAAGGCGACUUACUGGACCGUAACUGACGCUGAGGCAUGAAAGCGUGGGGAGCAAACAGGAUUAGAUACCCUGGUAGUCCACGCCGUAAACGAUGGGUACUAGGUGUGGGAGGUAUCGACCCCUUCCGUGCCGCAGUUAACACAAUAAGUACCCCGCCUGGGGAGUACGGUCGCAAGAUUAAAACUCAAAGGAAUUGACGG